AUCUAUGGUGCAGUGAUGGAAGAAUUCUCCUAUAUGCUUUAUAGGCCUCAUGGCUCUCUGAGAAGGCACCUGCUGCCCGCGCCCUGCAAGCAGGUUUGCAAGGACAAAGUGCCCAAUGUUGCCUCUGGAGCAGGUUUGGCUGGAGCAAAGGGCUGUUCCGAGAGGGAGGCGAGUGCCUGGAGCUCCCCUUUGGUGCUGGCACCUGACCUUGGACUAGAAACUUGAAGAAUGCUUUAAUACUGCUUGCUUGCAGAGACUUGGUUAAUAUGCAUUAUUUACACCAGGAGCUUACAUAAAUAAAAUAGUAAAUACCCUCAAAAAUACAGAUUCUGUUAACCCAGCAUCACAACCGCAGCCCUGCGCGCUCCGGCUUGCAAGG